AACGAACGCUGGCGGCAUGCCUAACACAUGCAAGUCGAACGAGACCUUCGGGUCUAGUGGCGCACGGGUGCGUAACGCGUGGGAACCUGCCCUUAGGUUCGGAAUAACUCCCCGAAAGGGGUGCUAAUACCGGAUAAUGUCUUCGGACCAAAGAUUUAUCGCCUUUGGAUGGGCCCGCGUUGGUUUAGCUAGUUGGUAGGGUAAAAGCCUACCAAGGCGACGAUCCAUAGCUGGUCUGAGAGGAUGAUCAGCCACACUGGGACUGAGACACGGCCCAGACUCCUACGGGAGGCAGCAGUGGGGAAUAUUGGACAAUGGGCGAAAGCCUGAUCCAGCAAUGCCGCGUGAGUGAUGAAGGCCUUAGGGCUGUAAAGCUCUUUUACCCGGGAUGAUAAUGACAGUACCGGGAGAAUAAGCUCCGGCUAACUCCGUG
rnacentral:rRNA from 1 species